rnacentral:rRNA from 1 species
GACGAACGCUGGCGGCGUGCUUAACACAUGCAAGUCGAACGGAAAGGCCCUGCUUUUGUGCGGUGCUCGAGUGGCGAACGGGUGAGUAACACGUGAGUAACCUGCCCUUGACUUUGUGAUAACUUCACGAAACUCGGGCUAUUACCGCAUAUGAUCUCCUGCUGCGUGUUGGUGGUUGGAGAGUUUCGGCGGUUGGGGCUGGACUCGCGGCUUAUCCGCUUGUUGGUGGGGUAGUUGCUUACCAAGGCUUUGACGGGUAGCCGGCCUGAGAGGGGUACCGGCGACAAUGGGACUGAGAGACGGACCAGAAGGGUAAGGGAGGCAGUAGUGGGGAAUAUGGCAGAAUGGGGGGAAGCGUGAUGCAGAAGCGCCGGGUGCGGGAUGACGGGCUUUGGGGUGUAAACAGAUUUCGCAUGUGACGAAGAGGGAGUGACGGUAAUGGGUAAAGAAGCAACGGCUAACUACGUG